GGGGUGCAGCACCACCGCAGACACACGCUGUGAGCCUCUGGAAGGUCACUACUGCACUGACCCAGUCAAAGAUGGCUGCAGAGGAGCUGUGGAACACACAAAGUGCUCACCAGGACAGUACAUCAGACAGAAUGGUUCAGCUUCCUCUGAUACGCUGUGUGGCGACUGUGGCAAUAACACAUACUCAGAUGGAUCAUUCACAUCCUGCAGACCACACAGACAGUGUGCAUCAUUGAAAAUGGAUGCUAUUCUAGAGGGAACAUCAUCCUCUGAUGCUGAAUGUGGACGAAGUGGCAUCACACCUGGUGGUAUCACUGCCAUAGUAAUAUUGCUGAUUCUGCCUAUAAUAGCAGGCAUCGUGAUUUUUAUACUUCGCUUCAGGAAACAACAACAACA